rnacentral:tRNA from 1 species
GGGGUUGUGGCUCAGCAGUAGAGUGCUCACCUAGCACAGGUGAGGCCCUGGGUUCGAUCCCCAACACCACA